UGCCCUAGUAACGGCGAGUGAAGCGGCAACAGCUCAAAUUUGAAAUCUGGCUCCGGCCCGAGUUGUAAUUUGCAGAGGAAGCUUCUGGUGAUGUACCGUCUAAGUCCCCUGGAACGGGGCGCCACAGUGGGUGAGAGCCCCAUUUGACGGAUGCAGAUCCUGUGUGAAGCUCCUUCGACGAGUCGAGUAGUUUGGGAAUGCUGCUCAAAAUGGGAGGUAAAUUCCUUCUAAAGCUAAAUAUUGGCCAGAGACCGAUAGCGCACAAGUAGAGUGAUCGAAAGAUGAAAAGCACUUUGAAAAGAGGGUUAAACAGCACGUGAAAUUGUUGAAAGGGAAGCGCUUGUGACCAGACUUGCGCUGGGCUGAUCAUCCGGUGUUCUCACCGGUGCACUCGGCCCAGCUCAGGCCAGCAUCGGUUUUGGUGGGGGGAUAAAGGCGCCGGGAACGUAGCUCCUUCUGGAGUGUUAUAGCCCAGCGUGCAAUGCCCCCGCUGGGACCGAGGUUCGCGCAUCUGCAAGGAUGCUGGCGUAAUGGUCAUCAGCGACCCGUCUUGAAACACGGACCAAGGAGUCAAGGUUUUGCGCGAGUGUUUGGGUGUCAAACCCGCACGCGUAAUGAAAGUGAACGUAGGUGAGAGCUUCGGCGCAUCAUCGACCGAUCCUGAUGUAUUCGGAUGGAUUUGAGUAGGAGCGUUAAGCCUUGGACCCGAAAGAUGGUGAACUAUGCUUGGAUAGGGUGAAGCCAGAGGAAACUCUGGUGGAGGCUCGCAGCGGUUCUGACGUGCAAAUCGAUCGUCAAAUCUGAGCAUGGGGGCGAAAGACUAAUCGAACC
rnacentral:rRNA from 1 species